UAGGGAAUCUUCGGCAAUGGGGGGCAACCCUGACCGAGCAACGCCGCGUGAGUGAAGAAGGUUUUCGGAUCGUAAAGCUCUGUUGUAAGAGAAGAACGUGUGUGAGAGUGGAAAGUUCACACAGUGACGGUAACUUACCAGAAAGGGACGGCUAACUACGUGCCAGCAGCCGCGGUAAUACGUAGGUCCCGAGCGUUGUCCGGAUUUAUUGGGCGUAAAGCGAGCGCAGGCGGUUUAAUAAGUCUGAAGUUAAAGGCAGUGGCUUAACCAUUGUUCGCUUUGGAAACUGUUAAACUUGAGUGCAGAAGGGGAGAGUGGAAUUCCAUGUGUAGCGGUGAAAUGCAUAGAUAUGACGCAGAACCCCGAUUGCGAAGGCAGCUUUCCAGCACGCGACUGACGCUGAGGCACGAAAGCGUGGGGAGCGAACAGGAUUAGAUACCCUGGUAGU
rnacentral:rRNA from 1 species